GUGCAUCCUAGAGAAAACUCAACAGUUGCAGUUUGAAUCCUCGUUUGCUGACCAAUCUAGCAGUAGUGCGGCUUAGUGGCGAAUUAAAAACGGAAUAUGACUGGCGCAAUUCUUCUUGGGAAUCACAGCGACAUCACAACUCAGAACAAGGGAGGACCGCGAUAAGAUGGAGACAAUAGAAAGGCGAGGUCAUCUAUCCAAUUCCCCUGUUCCGACAACUAUAAGUGAAGCUGCGUCCAGCCACCCAAAAGUGCGACGUAGAGAUGGGUCACCUGUUGCAGUUUGAAUCCUCGUUUGCUGACUCAUUGGCAGUCGUGGCGGAUUCAAAACGGAAUGACUGACGCAAUUCUUCUUCAAUAAAGGAAUCACAGUGACAUCACUACUCAGAAC